GAGAAAUUAAAUUCCUCUGAACUUGCAGGCUGCUCCUCAGCAGGGCUCCCAGAGGGGCCUAUUAACUGUACCCAGCSAGUGAAGGUUUACUCUGGCUUGAGAUGAACAGCCUCAGUCCCCAGGCUUGGAAAACAGGUCUCCAAGUUCCUGGCGUUGCGUCUGGGCAGGAUCGGCCCUUGGGGGAGUGACUCUCUUCUCCCUGCCUCAUUGGACCCCUGGACCAGCGGCUGGUGCAGCCUCCACCCCUGCUUCCAUGUGGGAAGAAACUUGGCGCCCAGAGAGGGAGAUGGUUUUGCCCAAGGUUGCUCAGGGCCUCUGAGGGGCACAGAGAAGAUCAGACCAAGAGGAGGCAGAGGAAUAAGAAACCAAGAAUGAAGACGAGCUCCUCUGUCUACCGUCUGGGAGUGCCCAACUUAUACAUCUGUUCGAGGCAUCCCCGGGCAUUCAGCGCCUGAAUCCAAUUUGAAGAAGGUAGAAUAAAAGCCCCAUUCCUGUCUCA
ensembl:lncRNA